CCUCAGGCCGAGUGGUUAUGGCGCAAGUUUCAGGUAUACCUGGAGCUCAUGCUUCGGUUUUCAAGAAGUACUUGUGGGUAAAACCGCGUGGGUUCGAGUCCCACCCUCAUCG